rnacentral:lncRNA from 10 species
CUGUCUCUUUUUCUGAUUUUGUCCCUCAGUCGAAUUAUUUCUUCUGAGGAGGCAAGGACUGAAGUUGCUACAGACCCCUAAGGACAGGCCAUCGGUAACACUGGGUAAAUCAGAUCUCUUCCACGGGUCUAUCAAUGAGAAGAAAGUGCCAACUGAAAACUUUUAGAAAAUACCCAGUUUACUCAAGGAAAAUAACAUGCAUUGAAGGUGAUUGCUCAAUAGAGAGAAGUUGAAACAGCAGACUAAUUGCCUGUUUGUGACACCCAUGUAAUCAACUUGCCAUUUGUACUCAUCAGUUCAGGCUGUGUUUUCCCACUGAGACAUCAUUUACAGUGCUCUAAACAUAUUUUCACAACAUUCACCUGACAACAUCAGCUGAGAGAAAAAUUUUCAGACUGCCGAGAAACAUCAGGAGGCCAUGAAUUCUUAAUCAACACACCAAAUUAUGAAAAUGGUAUGUAUAUCUCUUUGAAAAUAUCCUUGGCAAUAGUUAAUCGGGAAAAGAAACAGUAGAUAGUCCAAAGACUUUGGCUCAGUACCCUGCUCCCCAGUUGUUAAGAGGAGAUUUCAAGGCGUUUGUGUGGUGGCAAAGGUUCAUGACUUCUGUCUCCCUUGGGGAUUGCCACUAGAGAACAUGUGGAAAGAAAAACUGGUUUUAGUUUUUUGAAGUUCACAAAGAAGCAGAAACAGGC